CCCGAGAAAGAAACAAUCCCCAAGCCCAUUCUCCCGCCGCCCCGCCCGAGUCUCAGAAAGAGAGAGAGAGAGAGAGAGAGAGAGAGAGAGGGAAGGAGAGCAAGCUCGUCGCGUCCACAUCGCGAUUCAAACCAAACCCUAGCCAGACGCAUGGAAAUCGUGCGAUCCCAACGGCAGCUCGCGGCCGGCGGCGGCGGCGGCGGAGGCGGCUCGAGGGGCCUGCCGACCUACCGGGCGGCGCCGCAGCUGGAGGUGCGGCUGGAGGAAUUUGAGCUCUUCGCCAUCGAUCGCCUCCGAGUUCUGAAGGGGAUCUCGGAUGGGCUCUCGCGGGGGAAGAGGCCGGAGGAGAUGGAGAAACUGGUCAGUGAGUUGUGGAAGGGACACAUGAGGCACCAGGAUCCAGCAGAGACUUUGAACAAGGAUGUAUUAUCUCACUUUGUGCUCCGCCUUGUCUACUGUAGAACGGAAGAAUUGCGAAAGUGGUUUCUCUCCAUGGAAACUACUCUUUUUCGGUAUCGCUUUCGGCUCGAGAGUCCUGAAUCACAGAGGAUGCUUAUGAGUGAGUUUCAACUGCCAUACAAAGCAUUGCCACACGCAGAAUUUGAGGCUGUGAAAGACAAGUUGAGCCAAGUUGUGCGUUCCAUUGGUCAAUCUGCAAUUGUUGAGUCUGUGUUCUUCAAGGUACCAUUUGAGGAAGUUCCUGAUCUUGUCGCCAGCCGCCGAGUAUUUCUUUCGAAAGGCUAUGCUUAUGUUGCGAUGAGUCAGGUGGUUUCACUUGCGGUUACCCAAUUCCGCUGCAAUAUCUCGAAGGCACUUGUUUUAACAAACAGAAAAUGGACCGCAACCAUUAAGGAACAAGAAAAGGACAGGUUGACUCCUAUUGUUGAAGCAUUAAGCAAUGCAUAUUUUGGACCUGAUUACUCUCAGCCAAAGGAUGCUGUCGAAAUUUCUCUGAAGGAUAUCGACCAACUGUCUAGAACUUCUUUCCCUCUUUGUAUGCGCCAUAUGUUAGAUAAGUUGAGAGAAAACCAUCAUCUGAAGCAUGGGGGUAGAAUGCAAUUUGGUCUGUUUCUUAAGGGUGCUGGACUAAAGUUGGAGGAUGCUCUUGCGUUUUGGAGAGCGGAAUUUUCUCAGAAGGUCGGCUCUGAGCGGUUCGACAAGGAAUAUGCCUAUAGUAUCAGACAUAAUUAUGGAAAAGAAGGAAAACGGACAGAUUACACUCCAUAUUCAUGUCAAAAGAUCAUUUCUGCAACACCUGGUGUUGGCGACCACCAUGGUUGCCCUUAUCGACAUUUUGGUGAAGAGAAUUUGCGGGCAGCACUCAACAAAAUGGGCGUCAGUGGAUACGCAUUGGAAGAGAUAAUGGAUAAAGUGAAGAACAGACAUUACCAGCUAGCUUGCACAUUGACCUUUGAGGCAACACAUGGUGUCUCAUGUGACUCUGGAAUCAACCAUCCAAAUCAGUAUUUCAGUGAAAGCCAGAAAAUCUCACGAGCCAAAAACCAAACAGUGGAGAACCAAUCAGCGACUUAAAUUGUAUCGCUGCUGCAAAAUGUAUCAAUUCGCAAAAAGAAAUUCCCCUUUGAGUUGCUCAGCUCCAUCAUGCCCACAUUACUCAACUCUGAUGGAUGGGCACCAACUGAUCAUCCAAAAAUCAAAAUGCAUCAUUUAAGUGUCAGUCAGCGUCGAAUCAAGAUCCUCGCUUGUUGCUGAUAACGUGGUGAUCACCAAAUCGCUGAUCUUUGACGCCUCAUGGGAACGUUGUUGCUCCAACUGCGGGCUGUCAUAUAUAACGUACAAGAGAUGGCGCCACAUUGUGUACUAGUAGAAGUGUUAAUCAAUUGCCGGGCGAACAGCAGUGGGGCAACGCAUGUACAUGUAAAUCUUAUGUUUUUUAUUUUAAUGCACGAGCAGCGUACUUGCUGUAUAUGCUCAGCGAGUAAUAUAUUUUUACAGCUGCCACCGGUUGUUUAGGCUUAAUUAGGGAGGGUCCUCUGCCAUUUCAAAAUUGAGUAAAAUACAGGGCGGAGUAGAUAUGGGCGCUAGAAUUAGUGUAUGAAACUAUAGGACCGUAGAGAGAGAGAGAGUAGAUGCAACUCGUAUUGGAUUG